GAAUAUUGGGCAAUGGCCGAGAGGCCGACCCAGCCAUGCCGCGUGCAGGAAGAAGGCCUUCUGGGUUGUAAACUGCUUUUAUCUGGGAAGAAAAACGCCCCUGCGGGGGUACCUGACGGUACCGGAUGAAAAAGCACCGGCUAACUCCGUGCCACCACCCGCGGUAAUACGGAGGGUGCAAGCGUUGUCCGGAUUUAUUGGGUUUAAAGGGUGCGUAGGCGGCCCGUUAAGUCAGCGGUGAAAUCCCACGGCUCAACCGUGGAACUGCCGUUGAUACUGGCGGGCUUGAGUUCGGUCGAGGCGGGCGGAACUGGUGGUGUAGCGGUGAAAUGCAUAGAUACCACCAAGAACCCCGAUUGCGUAGGCAGCUCGCUGGGCCGAAACUGACGCUGAGGCACGAAAGCGUGGGGAGCGAACAGG
rnacentral:rRNA from 1 species